CCCUUAGAUGUUCUGGGCCGCACGCGCGCUACAAUGAUGAAUUCAACGAGUUUAUAACCUUGGUUGAAAAGCCUGGGUAAUCUUUUGAACUUUCGUCGUGAUGGGGCUAGACCCUUGCAAUUAUUGGUCUCCAACGAGGAAUUCCUAGUAAACGCAAGUCAUCAGCUUGCAUUGAUUACGUCCCUGCCCUUUGUACACACCGCCCGUCGCACCUACCGAUUGAAUGGUCCGGUGAAAUCUUCGGACCGGGCGAUGGUCAGCAAUGGCCGCUGCCUGGAAAGUCGCUUAAACCUUACCAUUUAGAGGAAGGUGAAGUCGUAACA
rnacentral:rRNA from 1 species